rnacentral:tRNA from 1 species
AGGGAUAUAGCUCAGUGGCAGAGCACCUACCUACCAUGUGUCAGGCCCUGGGUUUCAACCCCAGCACCCCCA